CGGGUGAGUAACACGUGGGUAACGUGCCCUAGACACUGGGAUAACAGCGGGAAACCGCUGCUAAUACCGGAUAACCCUCUUAGAGCGCAUGCUCGGAGAGGCAAAGCUCCGGCGGUCUGGGAUCGGCCCGCGACGUAUCAGCUUGUUGGUGGGGUAACGGCCUACCAAGGCGGUGACGCGUAGCUGGCGUGAGAGCGUGGCCAGCCACACUGGGACUGAGACACGGCCCAG
rnacentral:rRNA from 1 species